AUUGAACGCUGGCGGCAGGCCUAACGCAUGCAAGUCGAACGGUAGCACAGAGGAGCUUGCUCCUUGGGUGACGAGUGGCGGACGGGUGAGUAAUGUCUGGGAAACUGCCCGAUGGAGGGGGAUAACUACUGGAAACGGUAGCUAAUACCGCAUAACGUCGCAAGACCAAAGAGGGGGACCUUCGGGCCUCUUGCCAUCGGAUGUGCCCAGAUGGGAUUAGCUAGUAGGCGGGGUAACGGCUCACCUAGGCGACGAUCCCUAGCUGGUCUGAGAGGAUGACCAGCCAAACGGGAACUGGGACACGGUCCAGACUCCUACGGGAGGCAGCAGUGGGGAAUACUGCACAAUGGGCGAAAGCCUGAUGCAGCCAUGCCGCGUGUAUGAAGAAGGCCUUCGGGUUGUAAAGUACUUUCAGCGAGGAGGAAGGCGUUGUGGUUAAUAACCGCAGCGAUUGACGUUACUCGCAGAAGAAGCACCGGCUAACUCCGUGCCAGCCGCCGCAGUAA
rnacentral:rRNA from 1 species